rnacentral:rRNA from 1 species
UACGUAGGGUGCGAGCGUUAAUCGGAAUUACUGGGCGUAAAGCGUGCGCAGGCGGUUUUGUAAGCCAGAUGUGAAAUCCCCGGGCUUAACCUGGGAAUGGCAUUUGGGACUGCAAGGCUGGAGUGCGGCAGAGGAGACUGGAAUUCCUGGUGUAGCAGUGAAAUGCGUAGAUAUCAGGAGGAACACCGAUGGCGAAGGCAGGUCUCUGGGCUGACACUGACGCUCAUGCACGAAAGCGUGGGGAGCAA